rnacentral:rRNA from 1 species
AUUGAACGCUGGCGGCAGGCUUAACACCUGCAAGUCGAACGAGUGGCGGACGGGAUCAUAAUGCUUGGGAAUCUAGCUUAUGGAGGGGAAUACCUACGGGAAACUGUGGUCAAUCCCGCGUACCAUAGGAUGAGCCAAAGUGGGAUUAGGUAGUUGGUGAGGUAAAGGCUCACCAAGCCGACGGUCUCUAGCUGGUCUGAGAGGAUGACCAGCCACACUGGGACUGAGACACGGCCCAGACUCCUACGGGAGGCAGCAGGGGGGAAUAUUGCGCAAUGGGGGCAACCUGACGCAGCCAUGCCGCGUGAAUGAAGAAGGCCUUCGGGUUGUAAAGUUCUUUCGGUAGCGAGGCGUUAACUACAGAAGAAGCACCGGCUAACUCCGUGCCAGCAGCCGCGGUAAUUC